rnacentral:rRNA from 1 species
UACGAAGGGAGCUAGCGUUGUUCGGAAUUACUGGGCGUAAAGGGCGCGUAGGCGGGUUUCCAAGUCGGGGGUGAAAUUCCAGGGCUCAACCCUGGGACGGCCUUCGAUACUGGGAGCCUGGAGAUCGGGAGAGGUGAGUGGAACUGCGAGUGUAGAGGUGAAAUUCGUAGAUAUUCGCAAGAACACCAGUGGCGAAGGCGGCUCACUGGCCCGGUACUGACGCUGAGGUGCGAAAGCGUGGGGAGCAAACAGG